rnacentral:rRNA from 1 species
ACCGGCAGCUCAAGUGGUGGCCAUUUUUAUUGGGCCUAAAGCGUUCGUAGCCGGUUUGAUAAGUCUCUGGUGAAAUGCCGCAGCUUAACUGUAGGAUUUGCUGGAAAUACUAUUAGGCUUGAGGUCGGGAGAGGUUAGGGGUACUCCCAGGGUAGGGGUGAAAUCCGAUAAUCCUGGGAAGACCACCUGUGGCGAAGGCGCCUAACUGGAAAGAACCUGACGGUGAGUAGUGAAAGCCAGGGGCGCGAACGG